UCUCAAAAUGUAUAGUGAUUCCUAUCCAUUGGACUGUAAGGUUUAUGUAGGUAAUCUUGGAAACAAUGGUAACAAGAAUGAAUUGGAACCAGCUUUUGGUUAUUGUGGACCACUCUGAAGUGUGUGUGUUGCUAGAAACCCUCCCGGUUUUGCUUUUGUUGAAUUUGAAGAUCCCCGAGAUGCAGCCGAUGCUUUUCGAGAACUAGAUGGGAAAACAUUAUGUGGCCGCUGAGGAAUAGUGGAACUCUCGAAUGGUGAAAAGAGAAGUCGAAAUCGUGGCCCACCACCAUCUUGGGGUCGUUGCCCUCGAGAUGAUUAUCGGAGGAGUCCUCCACCUCAACCUCAGAUCUCCAAGACAGAGAAGCUUCUCCCCCAGCCAGAGCAGGUCCCUUUCCAGAGAUAGGAGGAGAGAGAGAUCACUGUCUCGGGAGAGAAAUCACAAGCCUUCCCGAUCUUUCUCUAGGUCUCGUAGCCGAUCUAGGUCAAAUGAAAGGAAAUAGAAGACCAGUUUGCAAGAGGAGUGGUGUACAGGAAAUAACUUUAAUUGACAGGAGUAUGUACAGAAAAUUCAAGUUUUGUUUGAGAUUUCAUAAGCUUGAUGCAUUCUUAAGAUGUUUUAACUGUUCACAUUUGUUUGUCUCUUGGAACAGUGACACAUAAAGAUGUAAUUCUCUAUGAUUUGAAUGGAUCAUAUGAGGCAUGUAAUAUCAAGAAUUGUUACUUCACAAUGUUCCCUUAAGCAAAAUUGAAUUUGCUUUGAAUUUUAGUCUCACAUAGACUGAUAAUAAACCUCUAACUC